rnacentral:rRNA from 1 species
UACAGAGGGGGCUAGCGUUGUUCGGAUUUACUGGGCGUAAAGCGCACGUAGGCGGAUCGAUCAGUCAGGGGUGAAAUCCCAGAGCUCAACUCUGGAACUGCCUUUGAUACUGUCGAUCUGGAGUAUGGAAGAGGUGAGUGGAAUUCCGAGUGUAGAGGUGAAAUUCGUAGAUAUUCGGAGGAACACCAGUGGCGAAGGCGGCUCACUGGUCCAUUACUGACGCUGAGGUGCGAAAGCGUGGGGAGCAAACAGG